UGGAGCAUGUGGUUAAUUCGAAGCAACGCGAAAACCUUACCACCUUGACAUGUACGGAAUCCUUUAGAGAUAGAGGAGUGCUCGAAAGAGAGCCGUAACACAGGUGCUGCAUGGCUGUCGUCAGCUCGUGUCGUGAGAUGUUGGGUUAAGUCCCGCAACGAGCGCAACCCUUGUCAUUAGUUGCUACAUUCAGUUGGGCACUCUAAUGAGACUGCCGGUGACAAACCGGAGGAAGGUGGGGAUGACGUCAAGUCCUCAUGGCCCUUAUAGGUGGGGCUACACACGUCAUACAAUGGAUGGUACAAAGGGUCGCCAACCCGCGAGGGGGAGCCAAUCCCAUAAAGCCAUUCGUAGUCCGGAUCGCAGUCUGCAACUCGACUGCGUGAAGUCGGAAUCGCUAGUAAUCGUGGAUCAGAAUGUCACGGUGAAUACGUUCCCGGGUCUU
rnacentral:rRNA from 1 species